GACGAACGCUGGCGGCGUGCCUAAUACAUGCAAGUCGAACGCAGUGGGGACGGGUGAGUAACACGUGGGUAACCUCCCCCUCAGAGGGGAUAACACUUGGAAACAGGUGCUAAACCGAUACUGAUGGAUGGCCCCGCGGUGCAUUAGCUAGUGGGUGAGGUAACGGCGCACCAAGGCCACGAUGCAUAGCCGGCCGGAGAGGGUGAUUGGCCACACUGGGACUGAGACACGGCCCAGACUCCUACGGGAGGCAGCAGUAGGGAAUCUUCGACAAUGGACGAAAGUCUGACCGAGCAACGCCGCGUGAGUGAAGAAGGGUUUCGGAUCGUAAAACUCUGUUGUUAGAGAAGCGGUAUCUAAACAGAAAGCAACGGCUAACUACGUGCCAGCAGCCGCGGUAAUAC
rnacentral:rRNA from 1 species